UAUGGAUUAUUAAAUCAGUUUAUGAAGAAAUAUUUCUUCUCAUCAUUGUUGUGUUAACUGAAAUUAUAUGGUUUUACAAAAUUUUACGAAAUUUUUGGGAAUUUAUUAAAAUUUCGCAAGAAAUCAAAAGAUGACUGAAUUGUCUAUACCCUCAGUAAUCACAAUAAUAAUAGAAUGACCAUAACAAAAUUACAAUUUGUGCAAACAAGUAAAUACUAAAUACAAUUCUAUGUUUAAGAAGAAAUCAUAAGGCAUUGACACAAGAUAAGAAAUGAGGCAAGCAUGAAUACAAAAAAACCGAAAAA